rnacentral:rRNA from 1 species
AGAGUUUGAUCAUGGCUCAGAACGAACGCUGGCGGCAGGCUUAACACAUGCAAGUCGAACGCACCUUCGGGUGAGUGGCAGACGGGUGAGUAACGCGUGGGAACGUGCCCUUCAGUUCGGAAUAACCCAGGGAAACUUGGGCUAAUACCGGAUACGUGCGAGAGCAGAAAGAUUUAUCGCUGAAGGAUCGGCCCGCGUCUGAUUAGCUAGUUGGUGGGGUAAUGGCCCACCAAGGCGACGAUCAGUAGCUGGUCUGAGAGGAUGAUCAGCCACAUUGGGACUGAGACACGGCCCAAACUCCUACGGGAGGCAGCAGUGGGGAAUAUUGGACAAUGGGCGCAAGCCUGAUCCAGCCAUGCCGCGUGAGUGAUGAAGGCCUUAGGGUUGUAAAGCUCUUUCGGCGGGGACGAUAAUGACGGUACCCGCAGAAGAAGCCCCGGCUAACUUCGUGCCAGCAGCCGCGGUAAUACGAAGGGGGCCAGCGUUGUUCGGAAUCACUGGGCGUAAAGGGCGCGUAGGCGGCUUGAUAAGUCGGGGGUGAAAGCCUGUGGCUCAACCACAGAAUUGCCUUCGAUACUGUCUGGCUUGAGACCGGAAGAGGUAAGUGGAACUGCGAGUGUAGAGGUGAAAUUCGUAGAUAUUCGCAAGAACACCAGUGGCGAAGGCGGCUUACUGGUCCGGUUCUGACGCUGAGGCGCGAAAGCGUGGGGAGCAAACAGGAUUAGAUACCCUAGUAGUCC